GAGUUUGAUCCUGGCUCAGAACGAACGCUGGCGGCAUGCCUAACACAUGCAAGUCGAACGAGACCUUCGGGUCUAGUGGCGCACGGGUGCGUAACGCGUGGGAAUCUGCCCUUGGGUUCGGGAUAACAGUUGGAAACGACUGCUAAUACCGGAUGAUGACUUCGGUCCAAAGAUUUAUCGCCCAGGGAUGAGCCCGCGUCGGAUUAGCUAGUUGGUGGGGUAAAAGCCUACCAAGGCGACGAUCCGUAGCUGGUCUGAGAGGAUGAUCAGCCACACUGGGACUGAGACACGGCCCAGACUCCUACGGGAGGCAGCAGUGGGGAAUAUUGGACAAUGGGCGAAAGCCUGAUCCAGCAAUGCCGCGUGAGUGAUGAAGGCCUUAGGGUUGUAAAGCUCUUUUACCCGGGAUGAUAAUGACAGUACCGGGAGAAUAAGCCCCGGCUAACUCCGUGCCAGCCGCCGCAGUAAC
rnacentral:rRNA from 2 species